CCUACGGGCGGCAGCAGUGGGGAAUAUUGCACAAUGGAGGCAACCCUGAUGCAGCGAUGCCGCGUGAAGGAAGACGUCUCUAGGUAUGUUAAAUUCUAUCAGCAGGGAAGAAAAUGACGGUACCUGACUAAGAAGCCAAGGCUAACUACGUGCAGGCAGCCGCGGUAAUACGUAGGGGGCAAGCGUUAUCCGGAUUUACUGGGUGGAAAGGGGGCGUAGGCGGUUUAGCAAGUCAGAAGUGAAAGCCCGGGGCUCAACGCCGGGACUGCUUUUGAAACUGUUGAACUAGAUUGUAGUAGAGGUAAGUGGAAUUCCUGGUGUAGCGGUGAAAUGCUUAGAGAUUAGGAGGAACACCAGUUGCGAAGGCAGCUUACUGGACUGUAAAUGACGCUGAGGCUCGAAAGCGUGGGGAGCAAACAGGAUUAGAUACCCUGGUAGUC
rnacentral:rRNA from 1 species